UAGAUAAUUUAUUAUUAUUUUUUUUUUGUCAGGACGCAAAAUAGUGAAGUCUUCCGAUAUUUGGCAAUAGGUCUACUCUGAAAACAUUUUGAGUUGCAAGAUGACUGCAGUAGUUAUAUAAAAAGUAGUGCUGUCAAACGAUUAAUCUCAAUUAAUCGCAUCCAAAAUUAAAGUUUUUGUUCACAUAAUAUAUAUUUGUGUACUGUGUAUAUUUCUUAUGUAUAAAUAAAAGCACACACAUACAGUAUAUAUUUUGAAAAUAUUUACAUGUGUUUACAUGUAUAUAUUUAUAUUCAUAUAAUUGAUAUUAUAUAUAAAUAUAUUUAAUAUAUAAACAACAUAUAUACAUGCAUGUGUUUGUAUUUAUAUAUACACAUAAUAAAUAUACACAGUACACACAUAUAUAUCAUGUAAACAAAAACUUUUAUUUUGAAUGCGAUUAAUCGCGAUUAAUCGUUUGACAGCACUAAUAAAAAGAGACAUGGAAGUAAUAUGAGACACAUGCAGCACCAGCAUGUUAGUUUUACGACAGCUGUCAGAUAUCCUGUCAUUAUAGGCCUAUAAAAACACUGACCAAAACAGAAUCUAGCUUUGCUUAGGGAGUGAUCUGCAUUGCGUGCAAAAAAUUAUAUAUAUAUAUAUAUAUAUAUAUAUAUAUUUAAAUUAAAACCAACGCCAGAGCAUCAUCGUUGAAUUUACGGUAAAAUUUAAAAAGUCUGUCCCAAUAACAUCAAAGAGGCACAACUUGCACAAUCGCAUUGGAAACUGCGAAGUGCAUGCACUGGGAAGAUCGUGUUGUUUAACCCGACGGCUUUAGGACCUUCCAGAUUCCAGAAGCGUCGAGCUGUAUUUGUGGAUUGGGUUGCAUCCUGCUCGCUGUUUCGCUACAAUGUCAGCAGCACGCCUGAUUUUACUCAUCGCUUGCUGCAUAACGUUUUUCCACUCUGGAAAUGCUCAGCUGGGAGAGUCUAGACUACAUAAUAGACCUUAUGAAGUCCUGCUGAAGGAAAAUCUAGUUCUUCUAAUAAGUGUUCUGUGCACACUGCUGGUGGUCAUGAUUGGAAUGGCAGUGUGUGUCUACAAACCUCUUCGGCGCAGGUGACAAGCCCUCAGGAUGAAAGACGCCGGGAACUGAACACUACUAUGGAGAAGGCUUGAUUUUGAAUAUUAAUGAGCCGAGCCAAGCCAUUGGACGAGAGCAACGCAACGUCAGCACGAACUAUUUAAUAGUCGGGAUCCAACCCUUCGCUAUUGGAAGGUUGAGCAUGACCUAAUUAAUAUUGAUAAAACCAUUGGCGUCUUCCCUGCAACGCUUUAAUUAAAUCUAGUCAGUAAUCAAGUCCAGAUCUCCCUAAACCUUAUACUUUAAGUGUUUAAAACUGAAGACUGUUUCAAACACAUGCGUACUAAAUUAGGAUGUUUUUUUUAUUACAGUUUAUAAGCUGCUAAAAUGUUUACAGUCUGAAUUUAUACGUAUUUAUUUUUUUAUUUAAUAUUUUCAUGUAUUUAUUGUAAGAUGUUUAUUUGAUUGUUUUUUUUUUGAAUGUCAGACCUCUUGAACAAAUUAAAGCCAAUGCCUGAAUCAGUAUGAAUGUGCUUGUGUUCAAAAUAAAUAACUGAAUGCAUGUUUUACUAUACUUCUAUAGGCCUAAAAUUAAUAACACUCUCAGAAAACUGGCACCCUUUCAAAAUGUACUAAUAUUUUAAAAUGUACUAAUAUAUAUAGUAUGGUAGCCUACUAAUAAGGGUCUUACAAGUAACAGCUUUGUAUCGUUUUUUCCUGAGAGUGGAAGCCAUUAAAAUUAAUACAUGAUUGUAGUUGGUAUAGUAGUACUAGUACUUUUAUAAUGUUAUCAUAAAUAAAUAGCAUAUUUACACUUUAAUCAAAUUUGCUCUAAACUUCAGUAUUUCCAUUCUUGUCUGCCUAAGUGUCCUCUCUUCAAUCCCAUCAGUCACAGUGAAUUUCUUUUGCUCUUUAUGGGAGAGACACAACUCAUCCAUCUAAUCCAGUCACACACACAAUAAGAUCAGCAUCUGCUGAACAGGUUAUCUCUCCCUCACACAGGAUAGAUAGAGGACCAGUGGAUACUUAUAUACAGGUGCAUCUCAAUAAAUUAGAAUGUCGUGGAAAAGUUCAUUUAUUUCAGUAAUUCAACUCGUUGUGAAACUCGUCUAUUAAAUAAAUUCAAUGCACACAGACUGAAGUAGUUUAAGUCUUUGGUUCUUUAAAUUGUGAUGAUUUUGGCCCAAAUUGAACAAAAACCCACCAAUUCACUAUCUCAACAAAUUAGAAUAUGGUGACAUACCAUUCAGCUAAUCAACUCAAAACACCUGCAAAGGUUUCCUGAGCCUUCAAAAUGGUCUCUCAGUUUGGUUCACUAGGCUACACAAUCAUGGGGAAGACUGCUGAUCUGACAGCUGUCGAGAAGACAAUCGUUGACACCCUUCACAAGAAGGGUAAGCCACAAACAUU
ensembl:lncRNA